GUUUCUUUGCAAACAUUCGAUAAAAUUGGAAUGAUAACGAGAAGAUCAGCACGGCCCUUGCGUAAGGAUGGCGUGCGGAAUCGACAGAUCGAGAAAAUAUAG